GGAGAAGGUUUUCUAACUAAGGAGGUGCUCAGUCGUAAGGUGGUUGGGAUGGAGGUAAAUGGCUGAAAAAGAAGUGGGGGAGUUAUGGUUCCUUCUCUACUGCUAUUGCGCCUUACCCAAAGCAUUUGGGUGAUAGGCGUCAGCAAGGUGGUGAUAACUUCUGGGCACAGGGUGCCCAAUCUCAGGUGAGUAGGGGUCAAUCAAUUUCUUCAUGUCCUCCUUG
rnacentral:lncRNA from 1 species